rnacentral:rRNA from 1 species
AAACUUAAGGAUUGACGGUCCCGCACGAAGCAGCGGAACGUGUGGUUUUAAUUCGAUUGCUACACGAAGAACCUUACUGGGUUUGACAUAGAGGUAGUAGGGAAGCGAAAGCGGACCGACCCUUCGGGGAGCCUCUACAGGUGUUGCAUGGCUGUCGUCAGCUCGUGUCGUGAGAUGUUCGGUUAAGUCCGCUAACGAGCGCAACCCUCGCUGUGUGUUACAAGUGUCACACGGUACUGCCGAUAUUAAGUCGGAGGAAGGUGGGGAUGACGUCAAGUCAGCAUGACCUUUAUAUCCAGGGCUACACACACGCUACAAUGGCCAGUACAAUGGGUUGCCAAGCCGCGAGGCGGAGCCAAUCCUAAAAAGCUGGCCUCAGUUCAGAUUGCAGUCUGCAACUCGACUGCAUGAAGUUGGAGUUGCUAGUAACCGCAGGUCAGCAAUACUGCGGUGAAUACGUUCCCGGGGAUU